AGAGGGAUAGCUGGGUCAAAUGGUGAUUUCAUUCCAACUUUUCUAAGGAAUCUCCAUACUGCUUUCCAUAUUGAUUUCACCAAUUUACAGUCCCACAAGCAAU
rnacentral:pre_miRNA from 1 species